rnacentral:lncRNA from 1 species
AUGAAACAUAAAUAUUGGCAGAAGUUCUAAAAUUAUAUCUUUGGAAGGGGAAUUAGAGGGUUUGUUCUAAUUCAGAAAUACCAGAUAGAUCCUAAGAGAUGUUACUGGCAAAAUCUUGACAGAAUUUGGUUGAAGGGAAAAAGGAGAACUGGUGAAUGGUGACACUUUUGCAAUGUUCUCUGAUGUUCUUUUCUAGAUGCCCAUGGAGACUUCCCCUACCCAACCCUCCAACCCCUCAUCGCAUGCCUAGGGAAGGAUUAUUGCAGCAGAAAAGCAGAGAUAAGAAGAGACAAGGAAUUCAUUUCGGCAUUGACAACGCUUCAGUGAUCACUAUGAUUCUGUGUGCUGCUGUUGAUUUGGCUUCACGGACUUCCCCAGUGAGGCGGCCUUCCCUCUUUUGAGUGCUAGUUAAGCAUUCA